GCGGCGGCUCCUUCUGGCUGGUGCCUGCGCUGGUCCCAGCUCUCUGGUAGUGCAGCCCUGAACUGGCAUGCUUCGUGCUUGCUCCAGACUCGCCUGUCCAGGCUCAGCAGCAGUGGCAGCUGCUGGGCAGGAACUGUUGGUUGUGGCAGGGGGAAAAUGGCCCCUCCCUCUCACCACUGCUGGGCAAUUCUUGGUGUAGCCACUCAGAGCCUGUGUUCUGCCAGGCUGCCCUCUGGCUAUCACUGCUGCUACACUGGGCAGCCCAGAGGCGGCAGUGAUGGUAGUGGAUCUGCAAGGCAGCCUGGCAUGGCAUGGACUCUGGAUGUCUGCACCAAGAACCACCUGGCAGCGGUGAGAGGGAGGGGCUGCUGCUGCUGAGCCUGAACUGGUGGGUCUGGAGCAGGCAUGGGGCAUGCUGGGUCAGGUCUGUGUGUGUGGGUCCCCACUGGUGUUGUGGGGCUGGGGUCAACAGCCAGGGUAGCCAGAAGGAGCUGCCCCAGCCCUGCUGCGUGGCCAGGAGGCAGCAGGAUUUGCCAUGGCUGGGCAGUGCAGAGGAGGUACGGGGUGGCCUGGGGCUAUAUGCUGUUGGUGGUGGUAGGGAGGUACCGCAAGGUGUGUGGGCUUCAGGCUGUUGCAGGGCAGGGGCAAGUGCUGAGCUGCUCAGGGGAGCACAUGCAGGAGGGCUCCCAUGUAACCACAUCCUCCCCCACAUACAGUCACACUCACCUAACCCCUCACAAACCCCACAUCCCCACACACAUCUGUGUGCCUCUGCGGGGAGUCCUGCUCACGGCUACAUGCACUCAUCCCACCUCACACAGGCACCCACAAACACCCCCAGCCUCCUGCCGUCUCCCCUGCAGCCCCCCCAAACCUCAUACCCACCCAUGUCCACAUAUCCCUCUAUACUCUCUCCCCCACACCCCACAAUGCAUGCACACAGCCCCCCACAAUGUUUCCAUCAUUCAUGUUCUUCAAUUUCCUCCUUAAGCUCAUUUGUUUUAGAUGAGCAUGGAUUUAUAGAUAUUUAUCAAGCAACAUGCUCCAUAAUCAUAGGCUUUUUUGGCAAAAAUGUGGAACACUAGUUUUUAAAGUUAAUAAAGGUCUUGUUUCAAUUUUUUUAGUGG
rnacentral:lncRNA from 1 species